GCUUCAGUGGCCUAGUGGUUAGAGCGUCCGCCUCGGAUGUGGGAGGUCGUGGGAUAUGAUCCCCGGUCAAAGGCA